AGCUAAUGAGCUUGAUAAGCAUAUGUUUUGAAAACAUAAGAUAGAAAUAAUAGUUUUCUAUUAGCUU
rnacentral:tRNA from 1 species